UACGGGGGGUGCAAGCGUUAUCCGGAUUCACUGGGUUUAAAGGGUGCGUAGGUGGGCAGGUAAGUCAGUGGUGAAAUCUCCGGGCUUAACCCGGAAACUGCCAUUGAUACUAUCUGUCUUGAAUACCGUGGAGGUGAGCGGAAUAUGUCAUGUAGCGGUGAAAUGCUUAGAUAUGACAUAGAACACCAAUUGCGAAGGCAGCUCACUACACGAAUAUUGACACUGUGGCACGAAAGCGUGGGGAUCAAACAGG
rnacentral:rRNA from 1 species